rnacentral:rRNA from 1 species
CCUACGGGUGGCAGCAGUCGGGAAUUUUGCGCAAUGGGGGAAACCCUGACGCAGCAAUACCGCGUGUGGGAUGAAGGCCUUCGGGUCGUAAACCACUUUUUUCGGGGACGAUAAUGACGGUACCCGAAGAAUAAGCCACGGCUAACUACGUGCCAGCAGCCGCGGUAAUACGUAGGUGGCAAGCGUUGUCCGGAUUUACUGGGCGUAAAGCGCGCGCAGGCGGUGAAUGAAGUCGAAAGUGAAAGCCCCGGGCUCAACUCGGGAACUGCUUUCGAAACCAGUUCACUUGAAGGCGGAAGAGGGAAGUGGAAUUCCGAGUGUAGUGGUGGAAUGCGUAGAUAUUCGGAAGAACACCAGAGGCGAAGGCGACUUCCUGGUCCGAUCUUGACGCUGAGGCGCGAAAGCUAGGGGAGCAAACGGGAUUAGAUACCCUUGUAGUC